rnacentral:lncRNA from 1 species
ACUCAUAACCCAUCUAUUUAAGAGAUCCCAUGCCUCUCUUAUGUUUUAACAUAAGAAAACCCAUAUCCAUUAUAAAGAGCCACGUUCUUCUCUCUUCCAUGAAGAAAAAAGGGGUGUCCCUCCCUCUCAUGUGUCACCCAAAAGAAAAAAAGAGGAGGAGGCAUCCCAGGGUUUGACGCCCCAUAACUCCAUGCAUGAAGCCCCUCUUCUCUCCCCUCUUUGGAAG